rnacentral:rRNA from 1 species
AUUGAACGCUGGCGGCAGGCUUAACACAUGCAAGUCGAGCGAGCGGCGGACGGGUGAGUACUGUCUGGGCACCUGCCUGAUGGAGGGGGACAACUACUGGAAACGGUAGCUAAUACCGCAUACAAUCAGAUGUGCCCAGAUGGGAUUAGCUAGUAGGUGCGGUAAUGGCUAACCUAGGCGCCGAUCCCUAGCUGGUCUGCGAGGAUGACCAGCAACACUGGAACGAAGACACGGUCCAGACUCCUAAGGGAGGAAGCAGUGGGGAAUAUUGCACAAUGGGGGAAAGCCUGAUGAAGCCAUGCCGCGUGUGUGAAGAAGGCCUGCGGGUUGUAAAGCACUUUCAGCGAGAAGGCGUUACUCGCAGAAGAAGCACCGGCUAACUCCGUGCCAGCAGCCGCGGUAAUAC